CUCCCUCCCUCCCUCCCUCCCUCUCUUUAGGCCUGUUGCAGCUGAAGUUGCAACUGCUCCCAGUUCAUAUGUGUAAAACCCUAUAUAACCUCAUGAAUAUGGUCAAGUCCUUUUCUUCCCUUCAUGGUCUCUAUCUGUGUUUAUGCAGAUCUAUAACCCUACAGUUGGGGGUUAUAGAUCUGGGUCGUUUGACAUAAGCAUAAUUUUGGGUUGCAGUUGCUAAUGAAUUUGUUUGCAGAGCCAGCUUCACCUUAUCACUUUUAGGUGCCUUUCCAAGGUGAUUAUUGGGAAGCUGGUAUGGAGAGAGAUUGACGCCACAGUGUCUAGAACUAGCUGGCCACAGGUUCUCUGCUCCUGCACUAUAACGUAACCUUAUUGUACACAGUACAGUGGUACUUUGGUUCUCAAAUGCCUUGGGACUCAAACAACUUGGAACCCAAACACUGCAAACCCGAAAGUAAGUGUUCUGGUUUGCAAACUUUUUUCGGAAGUCAAACGUGUUCCGUUUUGAGUGCCACGCUUACGUUUUGAGUGCCACGCUUCCGUUUUGCAUGUUACCCUGAGGUCUGUCUGUUUUUGCUAUUUAUUGGCCUGUGUGUGAGAGACUGUGUGGAACCCAGUUCAGCUACUGAUUGUUUGUGUGACUGCAGUACAUUGUUUAUUGCUUUCAUUUUAUGGAUCAGUGGUCUCGUUAAAACUCAUGUUAUAUUGCUGUUUUAGGGGUUGUUUUUAAAAGUCUGGAAUGGAUUAAUCCAUUUUGUAUUACUUUCUAUGGGAAACCACGCCUUGGUUUUGGAACGCUUUGGUUUUGCAGCAGACUUCCGGAAUGGAUUAAGUUUCAGAACCAAGGUUCCACUGUACUUUUAGGAGUUGUGAGCCUCUGGUAGCAAGUGUUCUAAUCCCAUUUCUCCCGGUCAUUCCCUUCCUGCUUGAAAUUCUUCCUUCGCCAAGUGUCUAGUGUAUUUAUGGCCCAGAUGCUCCCAUAAUCCAGCUUCCCUCUCAGCCUUAUCCUGUUGCUGCAUGACAGAUGCUUGAGUAAAAUGGAUGCCCUCCUCCCUUUUCUGUAGCGGACCCUGCUCACUUCCUAAAGUUUUGCUUCUGUUUCCCACAAUCCUCUUCUGUCAACCUGUGGAUUAAUUGGCAGUAAUGCAGUUCUGCGCUGUUGUUGCAGCUUGCGUGUCUGACAAAACCCCCUGUUUCCUCAUUAAUGAUCAUGUGCAGUCGCUUUGUAAUCUGUGGCAUAUGGUGACUCCCCCAUGAUUUUUCCUCAACCAAUUUUUUCUGCUGUUUCUAAUCCUUCCAUCUCUCUUUCCAGUUCCUGCUCUGUUCCUUUGGGGUCCAGAAUCCUUAGCUAAGGAAAUGCGUAAGCAGCUGUAUUUCUAGAACGGCACAGGUGUGGAUGCUGGGAGCUGUGGUUCUCAUUACCAGUUGCCAUCCAAUAAGGGUUGCAGUUAGCUAAACCCUGCUUGGCCCAGUAUACCUGAAGGGAGCAUCUCCAACCCCAUCGUUUAGCCUGGACACUGAGAUCUAGCUCUAAGGGCCUUCUGGUGGUUCUGCAAGAAGUAAAGUUACAGGAAACCAGGAGGGCCUUCUUGGUAGUGGCACCUGCUCUCUCAUCAGAUUUCAACGAAAUAAAUAAUUAUACAACUUUUAGGAGACAUCUGAAGACAGCCCCGUAUAGGGAGGUUUUCAGUGUUUGAUGUUUUGUUAUGCUUUUAUAAUUAUUGGAAGCCGCCCAGAGUGGCUAGGCAACCCAGUCAGAUGGACAGGGUACAAUUAUUAUUAGUGUUGUUGUUGUUGUUGUUGUUGUUGGUACUCCUACUCAGAAUAAACACAUUGAAAUUAACAGAACUGCAUUAGUUAUAUAUCUUAAUUUCAGUGGGUCUAUUCUGAGUAGGACAGGUUAUGGCUACAAUAAUAAAUUAUUGAGACACUUAUUGAGAUAGUUGGGAGUAGCCUUUUCCCAUGCUGCAGUCACAAUUUAGGCAUAUGCUUGUAUUCUCUCUCUCCUCCCCCCGAAUUAAUAUACAGCUGGGGGCAGGGAAUACUUUCUCCAUGCGACUGAAGCACUGCCUUGCAGGGGUCAGAAAUCUGUCCUCCCAACAAAUGAGUUACAUUGGUAUUCACCAUGCUGCAAAACAAACCCGUCACCUGGAGAGAUUCUGAGGAGUGGAACAGGUCACACUUGGGUCUUGUGAAAGACAGUUGCGUACAAUGGCACAAUAUUUUGCCGAGACAGCCCCGCUGAGGCUACAUCUAAACUGCCCCCUGGCUUUAGAAGGAGAGCAAGGCUUCCCUGCUAUGAAGUUGGCCCAUGGUCACUGCUCCAUACAAAAUGUAUGACAGUUUGUUUCAACAUUCUGUCUCCGAAACCACGUGGCAAUUACUCCUUCUCCUGCUUGUGAAGGACAGAAGUUCGAACCCGAUGCUACCUUCUGAAUUGUUAAUUUUGCUUUCUGCUUUUUCCCUUUUCUGCUUCGUUCUACCCCACCACCCAAAAGAAGGUGGACAAGAUUAGGGCUGGGAGAUAUCUGGUAUCCAACUUCAUAAAACACCAUCAGCUAAACAUUGCGAUAUGAUGAUAUAUCAGUGUCUGAAAUAAGGAUGGAGCUAGGUAGAGGCAGUUUUCCCCACAUUGUGAUUUUUGCAACUCUCUCUCCCUCCUGUCAUGAUUUGCAAUAUAUUGCCAGGUCGAAAAUUAUGAAAACAGUAUCAUCAUAUAGACUUAAAAUGGUUUUGGACAAUAUAUCGCCCAGCCCUGACACAUAUAAUGAAUGAUUCACGGUAUAUCGCCAGGUCAGAAACUUUGAAAUUGAUAUCGCGAUAGAGGCUUCAAACCUGUAUAUUGCCCAGCCUUGGCAAGAUAUCUCUGACCAGGAUCAUGAGACUACUAUUAUUUCUGCUUCACAUGACAGGUGUUUUUUCUUUUUCUUUUUGAGGCUUAAACUUCCAUAGUGUAUAGAACAGGAUUCCUCAAACUCGGCCCUCCAGAUGUUUUUGGCCUACAACUCCCAUGAUCCCUAGCUAGCAGGACCCACUAGUGAUCAGGGAUGAUGGGAAUUGUAGUCUCAAAACAUCUGGAGGGCCGAGUUUGAGGAAGCCUGGUGUAGAACAAACUAUCAGUUUUACUCCUCAUUCUGUUAUGUUUCUCCCUUUCUGCUGCUUCCUACGUGGUUUAUUGGAGCAAAUGUUGGUGACUUUAAGAACUUGGUUGGAAUUGACGGGAACAAUGUGGCUGCCGUUGUACGUCUUUUGCAUUGCCAGGGUGUUUUGGGGGUAGGAAACAUGGGGUAUCUGCGCCCCUACAAGUGAGGUUUAAAGUAGCACUAAGCAGUAGCUUUACCAAGAAGGUGUGUACCUUGCAAACUGCUAAGUCAGUAAUCUCUCUUCCAGUCAGGUGUUUCCUUCUUCCUGCUUCUCCAGGUUCUUGACCAGGUGUGGAAAUGUAAACUGCAGGCAAGUGGCUCAUGAAGUGAUGUACAAUAUUUACAUGCCUACGGCACUGUAGUAAGUUACCAGUUGGUCAAUGGGCGUCUACGUUGAGUCGGAAUAACUGCUCCUCAUUAUAGAAAGGCAGCGUCAGAUCAGGUAAUAUCAGCGUGAGUGUCUAAUUGCUGCCUGCCUGAAGGACAAUUGCAGCAGGGACUAGGAAAAGAACAAUUUAACCUCAAGCUAUUAUUUAAAAAUAAGAAAAAGAUUUAUAUAUAAAACUUGCUGAAAUCUCAGCCUGCAACUUCUCAAAACAAGUCCAUUUCCCUUUGUGUUCCUGCUGUGGUUCCCCCCUCCCCCAGAUGAAAAUAGAAACCAGCGAGUAAAACUCCACUUUGCUGAGAUGUGAGCUGCAUCUCCGAUUUGAAUCUUUGCUGCACAAAGCAGCCAAAGAGCAAGACUGCAAAGAGCCAUCGUGAGCUUCGAGGCAUUGACCUGACUAUCUACUGAGCCAUAAAAUAGACAAGGGAUGGCAUAGGUCAUCAACUUUGCAGAAAGCAAAUGUGAAAAUAAUUCUGAGUUGACCUCAAAGGCUGUUCUUGCAUCGAUGUGUAUGAAGCUGUGGUGCCGUCUCUCCCGCUGUGUAUGUGUGUGUGUGUGGUAUGCAUGCAAGCAAGCAGGGUAGAAUCUGAGGCAGGAUAAAAUGGAUUUGCUGGUGUGUUCCUCCCCACCCCCACCCCCACCCCCACCCCUUCUUCGGAUAGCAAAACAUGCCAGACGGCAUUUUAACACUUGUCAAGAAAACAAGGAGCAGUGAAUUAAUCGGCUGGGAAAGAAAAUAAGACAGUCGCCAUAGAUUUAUAAUGCUGCUUGCUCGUGGUCGCUAGUUUGGAAACUGGCUGCGGAAUGAAAGAAAACGAGGGAGGGAAAAGGGGGCAUUCCUCCAAGCCAGAGCCAAGAUUUUUAGUCUCUUUUGGCAGCUGCGGUUGAAAGGAUUUCUGGCAGCAGAAAAGGAAAAGACUUUGUGGCACAGACCUGGAGAGCAGCGGCCAAUUCAGAGGUAGACUGUGCAGGACUGGAUUGGUCUGUCUUCAAACCUCCCUCCCCAGUCAUUGGAUUAAUCAUCUGAGAUGGGUGUGAGGUGGUAACUUCUAGGCCGAUCUGCAAGAAUCAGUUGAGAAGUGGGGGUUGCAGUGUGUGUCUGGGGGUUGGGGCACACCCACCUCUGACCUGUGGCCCACAGAAGGCUAGUCAAGGCUGAAUUUGGCCAUCUGACCUGACUCUAGUCAUGCAAGAGCUCUUAGAGGAGCAUCAGCUGAGGAGGAGGAGAAGGGAUUAUUGCCCUUUUCCCUGCUCUUCAAAUCAUUCCAUCUGAAAGUGGGAAAGGAGAGAUCUGGCAGGCUUACGUCAAGACAGGACCCCGAUACAGUCAGAGACGCAUUGUCUAUUGAAUUGCGGUCUAUUGUCAAAGUUCUAUGCAUUUCCACCAAUUCGGGGGGCUGGUGAAAUGUGAAACGGGUUGCAGAAUUCAGCUUAUCCCGGCUUGGCUUUGCAACGUGUGUGAAAUACAAGUUUGAACACAGCUACGCCUAUAUUACACAACUGAAAGUGUUGCACAGAUGUAACAGAGCAUUACAGUAUUGCUUCUGAGAGGCGAAACAAUGUUAGAGGGUUGAAUCUGCACGGAACUCCCAGGAUUGGAAAACCUGUUUUAAGUAGCAAAAAGUCCAUGGAAUUUGCGGGAGGAGUUGAAAGCAGCAGCCUCUGAUUAGCGUGGUUUGAAGCGGUGCUUCGUUUUAAGAAGUGUUGGUGGAAGUUCAUGGGAAAUGUUUUUGCCGAAGAUACUCCAGUCAGGAAUUCAUUGUGAUGAAGCAACAAACAUGUUAAUUAUAUAAUUCCACCCCAACAGAGCAGGGAACAACCAGACUUACUCAUGACUCCAGGCAUUUGAAUGGCCCAUUGCAAUGCAGGCCAUACAUCUUUCUCCUUGAACCGAAUCCGAUUCAAAAGAGGCUUAAAAGGGACUUUUCCUUUCAGCUUGUGUCCAAAGGUAGCAUUUCGCUCGCCUUUCAGAGUGAAACAACUUGAUUCAUUUUUGUACAGUACUUGGAAGACUGGUCCAGCAUGCCAAAUAGAUAAACCCCCAGUAUAUCUUACGGGUCAAAGCAGUAGUUUAUUUAACUGUCUGCAUGUACCAUAUAUUCCGGUGUAUAAGACGACCGCCAACUUUUCCAGUUAAAAUAUAGAGUUUGGGACAUACUCGCCGUAUAAGAAAUACGACCCGGCGUAUAAGAAGACCCCCAACUUUUGAGAAGAUUUUCCUGGGUUAAAAAGUAGUCUUAUACGCAGGAAUAUACAGUACUCUCUGCAUGUAUUUUGUAGUCAGGAGUGUAUUUUAAAAUACAAAAGAAUCUUUGAAACAGUCCUGAGCACAUGAAGCUGAGAGUAUUCAAACUGAAAUGGGUUUCAACUACCGAUAGAAACCCAAAUCUUUCACAAUACAGAUGCGGCUUGAGCUUGCUUGUGUUUUGGCAUUUUUGAUCUGGCAGUUAGGGGGAAGGAUUCAGAAGUUGCAACUAUAAAUUAUCAAUUUCAUACACAAAAGAACUAACUUGCAUUUGAAAGUGCACUCUUUUCUUUCGUGAUUGGUGACAGAAUUCCUUAAUUUAUGCUUUUUAGUAUAUUAAGUUUAGAAUUAAUUGUUAAGGCUGGUAAUCCAUUGAGAUAUUUAUAAUUUUCUCGUGGGGAUGUGUCCAAUUCAGGAAGUUGUUGUUUUAAAAAAUUAGCUUUUGUAUUUUUAACUCUACUCUAGUUUUCCAGAAGAGCUAACUAGCUUUGGUGCCAUCUCUUGAAAGCAAACCGUGUUUCUCACAUUUUAAGGCGUCCCUAUAAAAUAAGACAUGGCACGAUUUUCUGGAGGCAAUAAAAUAUAAGGCAUCCCCCAAAAAUAAGACAUGCUGAGUGGGAGCAGUGGUGGGAGCAGGUCUGCAUGGCGCUUUUGCAGCGUGCGCCUCGCCGAGCGCUGCUGUUUCUCCCGGGUCCCGCUCAGUCGGGACUCUGCGCGGUGCGCGCUACUGUCCUUGCCGGCUCCUGCUGAGUCGGGGCUCGGCACAGCGCACGCAGCUGUCUUUGCCGGCUCUUUCUUGAAUGAAUCCCCCACCCCGAAUUCGACCAAGCCCAGAACAGCCUGCCAAUCACACCAACGUGCAACCAACGUCGCUUGCUCCCAGCGGCCGUGAAGGGGCGGGGCUCCGCUCGUGAGCAGGCCGGGGGGAGGGUGAGAGCAGAAGCGGCCAUUGGGUGAGAGGCGUUUCGCGCCUGAAAUGGCCGCCGCCGCCGAACAAUGGACGAGCCUAUGGCGGGAGCAGGGCCCACCGCGGCCGGUCCUGUCGCCAUGGGUAGGGAAAACGAGGCUGAAAGCCGGCAAGGCCCCGCGGACCGGGCCGACGGAGAGUCGCGGCUCAACCUGUUGGACACUUGCGGGGUGUGCGGCCAGAACAUCCAGAGCCGGCGGCCCAAGCUGCUGCCGUGCCUCCACUCGUUCUGUGUGCGCUGCCUACCCCCUCCGCAUCGCUACCUCAUGCUGCCGCCUUCCGCUGCACCUUCGCUGGGCGCUGGCGGCCCCAAAGACCCGCCGCUGCCUCCGCCGUUGCCUUUGCUUCAGCCUUCCCCGGCCCCCUCGUCGCCCGUCGCCACGCCGCCCUCGCCGCUGCACUGCAACCCGGGUAAGGAAGCCCGCGCGGCGGCCGUGUAACGACUGGGGGGUGAGGAGGAGAAGAGCUCGUAGUUAUCUCAGAGAGGGAGAGCCCCGACCCAGCGGGAGCCAGCAAGGGCAGCAGCGCGCGCCGCACCGAGCCCAACCCAGCAAAACUCUGAAAGCUUAAUACCAGUAAAAAAUUAAAAAGCUUAACAAAAAAAAUAAGACAUCCCCUGAAAAUAAGCCAUGGCAGGUUUUUUUGGAGUAAAAAUAAAUAUAAGACAUGACUUAAAAUGUGAGAAACACGGAAGAUUAUGUGAGAGAACUUUCCUCCUAAAUUCCUAUCUACUUCUCUCUCUUUUUUAAUUAAAAUUAUUUUCGUCUUCCCCUGCACUCUUUUUACUGCAAACUCUUCAGAGAACAUUCUAAGCAAUGUCAAAAGUUUUUAGUCUCCUUGGGUUCAGUGGGAGAAAGGGCUAAGCUCACCUUCUUCAAUGGAUGGUAAAAGUGCUCAACUUUUAUCUGGGUUGUGUGCCCAGACUGUUGUUUGUUAAAUGAAAUAUGAAUUUAAUGCAACCCAGGUAAAUGCUCUGUUAAACCAGAUGCAUGGCUUUGGAAAAAAUCAUGAACUAAGCAAGAUUAUUUUCCCUGUACUGCAAAAGGGAAACUUCUGGGGGCCGAAGUUUGGCAAGUUAUCGCAGACACUGGGAUCUAGUUGUUCCUUAUCCAUGAGAGAUUUCUCGUAUGUCUAACCAGGAUCACCCCAGAGCCUCUGCCAGCAGUCUUUUAUUUUAUGCCUUCAAACUCCUUCGGCUCUGGAGUGUGUUCAGUUCUCAAACUAAGAAUAUUUGUGGCUCCUUGUCCCUAUUGAACAAUGCAGACUGACUUCCUUAAGCAAAAAAGCUGACCUGCCCAGUGACUAUCAGUAAGCCCGGUGCUUACUGAAAAAAUGGGGCAUUCAGCCUUUUAGUAAGUAGUCUUGCUUAGUGCCUCUUGCAUGUAUCCCAAGGGAUGCCAGUAACAUCAGAGUUGUCGCAGUUCUUAAAACAAACAAACAAAAAACAAAAAAAUACCCAGGAGCAAAAGGCAAACCGAGGGUGAAAGUAAAUGUUUUGGAUUACCUUUAAAAGUCUCUGUGUAAAUCAAUACAUUUUCGCUGCUGUAAGCCAGAGGUUGCCAAACUUUUGAGGCCAAUAAAUAAGCACCUUUGCAAACCAGAGUAACUGCUAUGGGCAACACACGCAGUGCAACAAAGCACAUUCUGCAGCCUGUUCUAGUGGCUAAAUCAGAAUCAUUCUUUCAAGACCAAUUUCAGCAGCGGAGGGGUGCCAGGAAGAAAUUGGGGGGUGCCACACCGUAUCCCUCUACUAUUAAGCAGCUUACAUAAAAAAGCCAAUUAAAAACACAGUAAAAACCCCAGAAAAUUAGAUAAAGACAUAUUGCAACUGUAUAUCUCGUAGGUAAAACAGAGCAAUGCACAACAUUAAAAAUUGGAAUCCUGGAGACAUUGGGGUAAACAUACAUUUUUAAGCGACUUUUAAAGGGCAUUACUGUCUCCUCACAAAUUACCUGAAGGAAGGCAUUUCAGAUGACGAGUGCUUGUCACCAAGAGAGCCUACAUCUCUUGUGUGUGGUCACUAAGGGACAACCUGUGGGUCUUGGAAUGACAUGCCAGGGUUUCAUUGGAAGUUCUUAAAGAUCAGCUUAGUCUGGACUAGAGGAAGGUGGUCUGCAAGGAAUUUGUAUGCACGCCUAUAUUUCAGCCAUGUAAAGGAAUUCCUUCUUAUGUUUCAAUCGGAUGGGAUUAAAACUUUUUGUUUUUGGGAGCAGAUUUAGAAGGGAUAUUGGGGAGUUGCCUCUGUCCCCAUCCCACUGGUAAACUUAAUCCAUUGGAUGCCCCCUCCCCAAAAGGUCGGUCUUUUCCUGUAGUAACUUUAAAUCAAUCCAGCACGUUAAAGAUACCUAUGUAGUAACCUCUGCCUUGCAGGAGAUCUAUUUACAAAGUUAAGCCUUAUGGGAAAAUGCUUUUUUUAGCCUACAGGGGAACACUUGUGUUCAACACAGACAGGUUAGAUUUCCUCUCUUUUUUGGGGGGGGGAGGGGUUGUCUGUGUAAGUGUGAAAUGCCUUAAAAUGCUUCUGACAAAACGUGGGAAAAUUUCGAUAAUUGGUAGCUUUCCCUUUUCUGUCUGAUUAAAGAUCACUAACUGAUAUUUUCAUUAAUCACUAAAUUAUUGUCUAGAUGAUAGCGAGGGGCUUUGAUCGCAUGCCAGUGGCAUGCAGCGCGUUCUACCAAUAAACAAUUAAUUACAGUGCAGCAUUCUGCCAACGGUGAUGUAAUUGCUGCUAUACAAAGAGCCUUUAAUGUUAACUGUGGCGCGAGAAAUUUGGAAGGGAAGCUUUUGGCACAGGCUUUCAGAAGAUGAUUUUGAAACAGUGGAGAAGAGAACCUCUGCCUUUUUGUGUGCUUGGUUUUACUUUUUUACUUGCAAGGUAUACAGUAAGUGCAGGCCAAGUAUUUUUUUUCCUUCCAGAUAAUGUUUAAGGCAUAUUUUUUAGGGGGAAUGUGGUCACUACCCUGUUAUCAUUUGCUGUCUGUUGUCCCUUUCCAACUUCUUAGCUAAAUCAAACUAAGAUUCUUUAUCUCCUAGUUAAGCAGUUUGCAGACUUUUUCAUCUGUAAGACCUAAGGGACAAUGAAAAACCACUUAUUACCCUGCCCACCCAUCUGCAGUGUAUGGGGAUCUCAGGCCUUUCUUGCUGCCUGCCUGCUAUAUCCAUUUUUGAGCCUGUACCAUCACAGUUGUGUUUGCACUUAUAGAAUCAUAGAAUUCUAAAAACUGGAAGGGAUUCAGAAUCCCACCCCUGCAAUGCAGGAAUACAUGACAGAUGCUUUAACCUCUGCUUAAACACCUCCAAGGAAGUAGAGCCCUCCACCUUCCGAUGGAGUCCAUUCCACUGCCGAACAACUUUUGCCAUCAGAAAGUUCUUCCUGGUGUUUAGUCGGAAUCUCCUUCCUUGUAUCCUGAAGCCAUUGGUUCUGGUCCUUCCCUCUGGAGCAGGAGAAGACAAGCUUGCUCCACCUUCCAUAGCCCUUUAGAUGUUUGACGAUGGCUAUCAUAUCUCCUCUCAAGUCUCCUCUUAUCCAGACCAAGCAUAUCCAGCUCCCUCAACCGUUCCUCAUAAGGUUUUGUUUCAUCUUGGUCGACCUCUUCUGCACACAUUCCAACUUGUCGAUAUCCUUCCUAAAUGUAUUGCAGCUGUGGUCUGAUCAAGGCAAUACUAUGACUUCUCUUGACCUGGACACUAGACUUCUGAUAAUGCAGCCUAGAAUAACAUUAGCCUUUUUUUUGCUGCUGCACCACACUGUUGACUCCUGUUAAGCUUGUGGUCUACUAACACCCCUAGAUCCUUUUCACAUGUACUACUGGCAAUCCUGGUGUCCCCCAUCUUACAUUUGCACAGCUGGUUCUUCCUGCCUCAGUGAAAACAUCGAGGCAGGUGGAACUUAUGUUAAAUAAGCACUGUGUAGGUAGCUGUAUACUGACAGCGCUAUGAUAGACACUGCUCUGGGCAAUCAUAAAAAGUUAUGCUAUCUAGUGGACAUGUACAUUUGGCUCUCCUGCACUUUCAAAGUAAAAGGGCAGGCAACCCCUUGCUAUUCUGAAAGGGUAUUAAAAUGGGAAGGGUGGGAAUUUAGGCUCUGAUGUAAUCCUAAAUAGAUUCCCGCUGCUAUUUUUUCUGCAAGGACAGGGUUAGAAGCCACCUACUUUUGGCUGACUUCCAUUUAGUCUUCUUGUGUGCUAUUUAUAAAUGCAUGUACCACAUUAGAUGGAGAAAGACGCAGCACUUUUUUUAAAAAAGAGCAAUAUAAGCAAAAGAGAAAUGUCUGCUGCAGGACACUUGGAAUCUAAAUUGAGAUGCGGUGGUGGUGGGGAAACAGUUGGGGGCGCGAGGGUUGCAGACUAAGCCCUAAGCAACUUUAGGCCCCAAAUAUCAGCAAACUUGUUUCAUUCCCUAACUGAGAGCUGUAUCUUGGUACCUUCCACCAUUGCCAGAUUACAGUGGUACCUCGGUUUACGAACUAAAGUCUGUUCUUAAACCAAAGCCGUUCUUAAACCCUAAUGAGGCCCCCCGCCACCGAUGCCCUUCCACUGUUUGGCUUCCGUUUGUAGACCGAGAUAAAGUUUGCUAACUGGAACACUACUUCCGGUUUUGUGGAGUUCAUAUACGGAAUAGUUUGUUAACAGGGCUGUUCUUAAACCGAGGUAGUACUGUAUUCUGAUUUGGAAAUGGUUUCAGCUGAUUUCAAUACUGUACAGUGGUGCCUCGCUUAACGAAUGCCCUGCUUAAUGAAAUUUCCUCUUAACGAAAGGUUUUUUCUAGCGGAGGUUGCCUCGCUAGACAAAUUCGUUUUAUGAAAAAUUGGUCUAGCGAAUCGCGGUUUCCCAUAGGAAUGCAUUGAAAAUCAAUUAAUGCGUUUCUAUGGGCAAAAAAAAAAAAUUAAAAAAAAAUUCAAUGCAUUCCUAUGGGAUUCGCUAGACGAAUUUUUCAUUAUAAGAAAA